rnacentral:rRNA from 1 species
AUUGAACGCUGGCGGCAGGCCUAACACAUGCAAGUCGAGCGGAGCGGCGGACGGGUGAGUAAGGCAUAGGAAUCUGCCUGGUAGUGGGGGAUAAGGUCCGGAAACGGGCGCUAAUACCGCAUACUAUCAGAUGAGACUAGGUCGGAUUAGCUAGUUGGUGGGGUAAAGGCCUACCAAGGCGAAGAUCCGUAACGGGUCUGAGAGGAUGAUCAGUCACACUGGAACUUGGACACGGUCCGGACUCCUACGGGCGGCAGCAGUGGGGAAUAUUGGACAAUGGGCGAAAGCCUGAUCCAGCCAUGCCGCGUGGGUGAAGAGGGUCUUCGGAUUGUAAAGCCCUUUAAGUUGGGAGGCGUUACCAACAGAAUAAGCACCGGCUAACUUCGUGCCAGCAGCCGCGGUAAUUC